CUCUUUUCUUAAAUGCAGGUACUUACGAAGCAGCAAGGCAGCAACUGCCAAAAGCAAUCCGAAAAAAUUCCCUCACAUCAGAGGACGAGGGAGCCAAACGUGUGCGAAUGCCUUCUACAAAACUGAAGGAGCGGUCCCCUUCCUUGCCCAAAAAGAGGUGAUGAUCCAGCAUCCAGGGACAGAUCCAGAUCCAGGGACAGCAGCAGCACGGAUGAUGAAGACUGAUGAAGACUAUUUAUUUAUUUAUCCAUUUAUUUGUUUUAUAAAUUAUAUUGUUACCUGUA